rnacentral:misc_RNA from 1 species
UACGGAGGACCUCCUCAC